UGUGUUCUCUGUAAUGUCUAUACCUACAACUGAAGUUACCCUCUCUACCCUCAGGUAACAUCACCACCCUCUGCCAUGUUCCAGAAUUCAUUCCCACCACUCGCAGCUCCAGCAGUAGAUGAGACCUCACAAGUGGUUUCAGAUCAGGUGGCAUCCACAUCCUCUGCCAUAUCCAUGAAUUCAUUCCCACCACUCUCAAUUGCUCCAGUACAAGAUGAGACCGCGCCUGUGGCUGAGAGUACCCAAGCUCAAAGUGUGGUUGCAAAUCAGGCUCUUCAAGAAUGGCGAGCAAUACACAUUUCAGGCUAUUGAGGCAAGACGUCAGUGAAUGUCUGCAUGUGAGGAACCCUCAGAUGGGGUGUUGAUCAAAUUUAAAUAUCCAAAUGGAUACACCAAUAUGAGGAAAUUCAGCUUGUCGGAGCCAAUCCAGAUCUUGUUUGACUUUGUGGGACAAGAUGAUAUUGCCAGUGAAAUCUUUGUGGUGCAAGAAGCUGCAUCAUCAAGAUCAGUUGAGAGCAGUUCCUCUGGGUCAAUAAUGGAUCAUUGCAUAAAAGCAUCCUCAACUCUAUAUGUGCUUUGGUUUUCAAAUAAGGAUGUACAGGAAAUUCUCUCAGAUCAACAAAAUGAUGGAGCUUAUGCCCUACACCAUACAUCUUAUGGUCAGUCAUCACUGUCUGAGACCUCCACCCAGCCAAGUCUCUCUGUGCCCUCUUUCCAGCCACCGCUGUCUGAGCCCUCCACCUGCUCACUGCUGUCUGAGCCCUCCACCCAGCCACCGCUCACUCUUUUCUCACAACCACAAGAAAUCCUGACUCUUCAUGAUGAACCAUCACUCUCUCCUUCAUCUGCCCAAGAACCAAUCAUUAUUCUUGAUGAACAAGAUGAGACGGUUUCACAAAAUCAGUCUCCUGUAUCAACACAUCACCUCGGAGGACCUGUGGAUGAGUGUUUUUUUCUCAUUAACUUGACUUUAUAUUUUUUUAGUGUAUGUAGAUGUUUCAUUUUCUAUAUCCUGUUACGUUUAAUCAGGUGGUUAAAAUAAAAUGCAUGAACUUCUUUGUUUGCAGGAUUGAUCUACAGACCAUAUUGAAAAAAAAUGGUCAGCAAAGUUGAUGGAAGCUUCUGUCCAACAAGCAACCAAAUAAAUGUGUGCAGGGAUAAUGUUUUACUGUGUAGCCUGCAGGCAUUCAAGCAUAGGUUCUUCAACCCUGAAGCAAAAUUGGAUGUUGUGUUUGUGGAUGAAGAUGACAAUGGUGAAGGGGCAGUUGACGAAGGCGGCCCGACAAGAGAGUACCUAAGGCUGUUGAUGAGGGCCGUCCACCAGUCAAAUAUCUUUGAGGGACAUGAGAAAGACCAGCAGUUGUCUCUUGAUACUCAAGGCAGGGAAGCCCAAAUUCUUAGGACUGUCCUCAUUCAACUGGCAGAAUUCUAGAAAUGUAUACAUGGAAACCCAUUUAAAAAUGAUUGCUCCCUUAUUUCUCCUGUCUGAUUUAUUGUUUAUUCUGUUUGUUUUUUAUGUGUUGGGCAGGUUUCAUCCUAUGUUUAUUGUCUGUAUCGUCUUUUAUUUGUUUAGUUAUUUUGCCUUAAUUUGUUAACUCUUGGUUAGGAUUUUUCCAUGAUUCUUCUUUUCUUUAAUGUACUGAAACACCUUUUUGAAACAUGUUUUGAAAGGUGCAAUAAAAAGUUAAUCAUAAUGUUUUAACGUAUUAAAUUAACAAGCAUUACAGCAGAGCAAGAUUUUACUGUUAUUUCUUUAAUUUUAGCUUUGCAGACUAAACUUUACAUGUGGGUGGCAAAAAUGAUUGCUGUGUGUGUGGUCCAUGGAGGAGUCGGUCCACAUUUCUUUUCCGAAAGGCUUUUUCAUCAAAUCUGUGGGAUACCAACACACCCGGCCACGGUGGAUGAAGUUGGUGACCAUACUUUCAGGGAACAGUUAAUAAAAAUACAGGAAGCAACAACAGUCCGAAAGGCGAACGGUGCAAUUGCAGAGGCAGCAGAUAGUCUCAGCAUUAUAGGUGCCUUAAGACAUGUGUCCAGCCUGGAGGAGAAGGACUCCCUUGUCCAGUCAGCUGCAGACUUCUUCGUCAAUGGAAGAUUGGCGACUGCCCUGGACCAAAGGAGAAUGCAGUCCAGUCACCCUAGAGAAGGUAUUGGAGUUUACAUCUGGAGCUUCAACAGUGCCUCCACUGGGAUUUCCACACCGUCCACAAAUUCAGUUCCUUCAUGAGGGCAACAGAAUAUUCCCAGAAGCAAAUACUUGUAUUCUUGUACUCCGCCUGCUGCUGCACUCUUCCUAUGAAGCCUUCAAACAAUACAUGAUGGAGGGAAUUUUGCAAGCUCCAACCUUUGGACUUGCAUGAUGUCACUAUGUGUGUAAAACUUAUUAAUGGAAAUUCAGUUUUCACUUGAGCUAUAUUUGUGCUUAGAAGUUAUUGAAUAGAAUGCUGUUGAAGCAAGUCACUGGUUCAGAUGUUAAUUUUAGAAUCUCAUGCACUUUUAAAAAAAAAAAAAAAAUUAGAUGCAGUAAUCCUGUUCAUUUUGCAUGAGUAACAGUUCACUUCAGUUGAUUGGCGGUUAUUCAAUAUUGAGUUUUUCAGCUAACUCAAACUUGUGUAGUUUUUUUGCUUUAAAUUAUUUUUGUUUCUAACUUAUAAAAUUAUUAAUUUAUAUAUUUUAUUUGUUUUGAAAAUGUAUAUUUUCUUUAGGUUUUACAAGACAUAUAUUGGGCUUAUAGUUCAUGGUUACUAUGAUGACACUGAGGUUGAUCUAAUGAAUUAGAUAUCCUUUAUAAACCAACUGUAAGGAAUUAUUGGGCUUAUAAUUCAAUAAGUUUGAUGAAAUCACACAUAACACACAAACGGAUCAUUUUUUUUGCUUUCUACAGCUCCCACGGUGAACCCUUCUACUGUCUAUGGGUGAGCCGAGAAAACCAUAGAUGUUAAAAACGGCGGAUUUCCCCUUUAACGUUAAUGCAUAUGAUAAUACAUGAAUACAGUGAUAAACAGACUCACCUGAACUAAUGCGCCUGACAGAGAAACGUCUGUCUUCCCCAGCAUGGAAAUUUGCGUCUAUUAGAGUUUUCAGUUGAGCCAAACUGCUUUUGAGUUCAUUGUUUGUGUCUGGUGAUAGCAAAUGCUCAAUUCUUCCGAGAUUUCUUUCACAGUUUUCAAUAGAACGACGUUCUCUCUCUCCACAAAUCCCCUGUGUGAGGGCUCGUUGAAUUUCAUGCCAUUUUCUGGUGUUUUUUUCGAUUACAGCCAACGCCAUGACUGCUUCUUUCUUCUUCUAUUCAUAGAAAUAAGGAAAUGAUCCCCUUCACGGGGAAGGGAAAUUACAUAUUUAUGGAUAUCUAAAAUAGAGCAACGUCAUGCACAAUAAUUUGCACUAGUCAUAAUGACGUUUGAGAUAUCUUUAACUUUCAUUCUGCCUAGGCAAAACUGAAUUACAGAUAUCUGCAAUUGUCAUUUAAGAUGUGUGACGAGUUGAAUGUCGUUUUCAAUGACGUCAUUGCAGAUAUCUGUAAUUCAGUUUUGCCUAGUCAAAACUGCAUUACAGAUAUCUUUCUCUGUCAUUUCGACUAGUCACAAUUACGUUACAGAUAUCUUGAAUGACAAUUCCAACUAUCCAAAAUGUAAUUACGACUAGUCAGAAAGACGUUGGUGAUAUCUACAAUGUUAAUUCCGGAUAGUCAAACUUAACUUUUAAAUGUUAAAAUGGCUUGCCAUAAUUACCUGCACUGUGUGCCAUUUUAUGCUCAACACAUUCACAAAACCUAAAGUAAAACGGUGACGUCACGAUGAUCGCCAAACUCGAACAUGUACAUCAACAGAUCCUCCUUUUGCUGUUUAUUUACAAUCCGAAUCACGUUACUUGUAAAAGUAUCAUGUCAUAUUAAAAGACAAACGGAUUCAGGUAAGUGAUUCUUAUUUCGAAAGAAAUUUUGAAAAAAGAAGCAUAAAUAUAAUGAAACUAUACAUUAUAUUUAUGCUUCUUAUUUCAAAAUUAAUUUUCAUUUUAUUAUCUUACCUUACAGAUGUGUAUUAUAUAUUAUUUAUACUACUUCUAAGCACCAGUAUACCAAGACAAAUUCCCUGUACAUGUAACCCACAGUACUUGGCAAUAAAGCUGAUUCUGAAAAGAUAGAGAAAUGAAAGUUUCAAUUUUAAGUCUUAAGACAUUAAGUACUUGAUUGUACUUCUUAUUAAAGCACUACUUAUAUACAUAACACACUUCCUUCAGGAAAGCUACACUGUUUUUAAUAGACAAAACUGAGUGUUGAUAUAUGUCAUGUAUAAUGAAAAUAAACAGAAAAAUGCUGUUAAUGGAUACCUGUUAAAUAUGCAAUAAAACAUAAAGGUUGUCAGUCGUAUGUUCAUAGUUCAGAAAUAAUGAAUUAAAGUUAAAAUACUGUGUAACGGCCCCAGACCAAAUAUAUUUUAAUGUAUAACAGCCAUCAUUUGAAACUUGUGGCUUAAACAUGAUCAACUUUUCAACCCACAGAGACUUUUUUUUUUCCAAUUACAUGCUCAAUAAAUUCAGUAUUUACAUUUUGCAUACAUAACUUUUGCAACAUAAAAAGCUGUUAUGUAAUAAAUGAAAAUCAAGAAAAUUAAUUCUCUUAGUUUAAUUAGAGUCUCACGUAUGGAGUCAUUGUUUGUCUCCAAUAGCUAUAAUCAAAACUAAUUAUGUGUUACAAUUACUAUACAAUAAUUAUUGUAACACUAUACAGAAAGAUGAUGAGAAUGAUGAUGUAUUUCAUUACACUGCAAAUGUCAAUGUU